CCUACGGGAGGCUGCAGUGGGGAAUAUUGCACAAUGGGCGCAAGCCUGAUGCAGCCAUGCCGCGUGUGUGAAGAAGGCCUUCGGGUUGUAAAGCACUUUCAGCGGGGAGGAAGGCGGUGAGGUUAAUAACCUCAUCGAUUGACGUUACCCGAAGAAGAAGCACCGGCUAACUCCGUGCCAGCAGCCGCGGUAAUACGGAGGGUGCAAGCGUUAAUCGGAAUUACUGGGCGUAAAGCGCACGCAGGCGGUCUGUCAAGUCGGGUGUGAAAUCCCCGGGCUCAACCUGGGAACUGCAUUCGAAACUGGCAGGCUAGAGUCUUGUAGAGGGGGGUAGAAUGCCAGGUGUAGCGGUGAAAUGCGUAGAGAUCUGGAGGAAUACCGGUGGCGAAGGCGGCCCCCUGGACAAAGACUGACGCGCAGGUGCGAAAGCGUGGGGAGCAAACAGGAUUAGAUACCGAGUAGUC
rnacentral:rRNA from 1 species